rnacentral:tmRNA from 1 species
GCCCUUUAACCGCCACGUUGAAACGCCUAUAUUCGGAGUGCCGGAGCAAUCCGGCUAUGGCGAUAAACGCUCGUUGUAAUAAACCAUUCGGACCCGGGGGCGGUACCCGGCGCCUCCACCAGAACCCGGUAACGGCAUGAGAUCGCCGGGCUCCGGCGGGGGCGAAACAGGAUCGACGAGGGUGUAAAGAGCGCGGCUUUCGCCCGGCAUGGUUCCGCCGUUAUCGGGCCUCUUAUAGUUGCGAAUGACAACUAUGCUCCGGUUGCUCAGGCCGCGUAAGCGGUUUGAUCACUGGGAAUUAAGCCCUGAGGGUUAGCACUUUCAGGCGGGGUUCGGAGGCACCUGGCAACAGAAGCCUCCACU